GAGGUAACGGCUCACCAAGGCCACGAUGCAUAGCCGACCUGAGAGGGUGAUCGGCCACAUUGGGACUGAGACACGGCCCAAACUCCUACGGGAGGCAGCAGUAGGGAAUCUUCGGCAAUGGACGAAAGUCUGACCGAGCAACGCCGCGUGAGUGAAGAAGGUUUUCGGAUCGUAAAACUCUGUUGUUAGAGAAGAACAAGGAUGAGAGUAACUGUUCAUCCCUUGACGGUAUCUAACCAGAAAGCCACGGCUAACUACGUGCCAGCAGCCGCGGUAAUACGUAGGUGGCAAGCGUUGUCCGGAUUUAUUGGGCGUAAAGCGAGCGCAGGCGGUUUCUUAAGUCUGAUGUGAAAGCCCCCGGCUCAACCGGGGAGGGUCAUUGGAAACUGGGAGACUUGAGUGCAGAAGAGGAGAGUGGAAUUCCAUGUGUAGCGGUGAAAUGCGUAGAUAUAUGGAGGAACACCAGUGGCGAAGGCGGCUCUCUGGUCUGUAACUGACGCUGAGGCUCGAAAGCGUGGGGAGCAAACAGGAUUAGAUACCCUGGUAGUCCACGCCGUAAACGAUGAGUGCUAAGUGUUGGAGGGUUUCCGCCCUUCAGUGCUGCAGCUAACGCAUUAAGCACUCCGCCUGGGGAGUACGACCGCAAGGUUGAAACUCAAAGGAAUUGACGGGGGCCCGCACAAGCGGUGGAGCAUGUGGUUUAAUUCGAAGCAACGCGAAGAACCUUACCAGGUCUUGACAUCCUUUGACCACUCUAGAGAUAGAGCUUCCCCUUCGGGGGCAAAGUGACAGGUGGUGCAUGGUUGUCGUCAGCUCGUGUCGUGAGAUGUUGGGUUAAGUCCCGCAACGAGCGCAACCCUUAUUGUUAGUUGCCAUCAUUCAGUUGGGCACUCUAGCAAGACUGCCGGUGACAAACCGGAGGAAGGUGGGGAUGACGUCAAAUCAUCAUGCCCCUUAUGACCUGGGCUACACACGUGCUACAAUGGGAAGUACAACGAGUUGCGAAGUCGCGAGGCUAAGCUAAUCUCUUAAAGCUUCUCUCAGUUCGGAUUGCAGGCUGCAACUCGCCUGCAUGAAGCCGGAAUCGCUAGUAAUCGCGGAUCAGCACGCCGCGGUGAAUACGUUCCCGGGC
rnacentral:rRNA from 1 species